GUGGGGAAUAUUGGGCAAUGGGCGAAAGCCUGACCCAGCAACGCCGCGUGAAGGAAGAAGGUCUUCGGAUCGUAAACUUCUAUCCUUGGUGAAGAUAAUGACGGUAGCCGAGAAGGAAGCCCCGGCUAACUACGUGCCAGCAGCCGCGGUAAUACGUAGGGGGCAAGCGUUGUCCGGAAUGAUUGGGCGUAAAGGGCGCGUAGGCGGCCUGGUAAGUCUGGAGUGAAAGUCCUGCUUUUAAGGUGGGAAUUGCUUUGGAUACUGUCGGGGUUGGGUGCAGGGGAGGUAAGUGGAAUUCACGGUGUAGCGGUGAAAUGCGUAGAGAUCGGGAGGAACACCAGUGGCGAAGGCGACUUACUGGACUGUAACUGACGCUGAGGCGCGAAAGUGUGGGGAGCAAACAGGAUUAGAUACCCGGGUAGUCC
rnacentral:rRNA from 1 species